rnacentral:rRNA from 1 species
CCUACGGGGGGCAGCAGUGGGGAAUAUUGGGCAAUGGAGGCAACUCUGACCCAGCAAUGCCGCGUGAGUGAUGAAGGUAAUUUUAUUGUAAAGCUCUUUUCUUUGGAACGAAUAAAUGACGGUACCAAAGGAAUAAGCCCUGGCUAACUACGUGCCAGCAGCCGCGGUAAUACGGAGGGGGCAAGCGUUGUUCGGAAAGCAUGGGUGGAAAGGGGGUGUAGGUGGUUUGAUAAGUUAGAUGUGUAAUACCCAGGGCUUAAAUCGGGUGCUGCAUCUAAAACUGUUAGACUUGAGUACUGGAGAGGAUGGUGGAAUUCGUGGUGUAGCGGUGGAAUGCGUAGAUAUUAGGAGGAACAUCAGUGGCGAAGGCGACUAUCUGGACAGCAACUGACACUGAGGCACGAAAGCGUGGGGAGCAAACAGGAUUAGAUACCCGGGUAGUC